AGCAGUGUCAGGAACUUAUUCCGAGGCCGACGUGAUGUUGGAUACGGGAUAACGUUUCCAGCUCGACUCAGAGUCUCUUACAAGGGGGAC